rnacentral:rRNA from 1 species
AGAGUUUGAUCAUGGCUCAGGACGAACGCUGGCGGCGUGCUUAACACAUGCAAGUCGAGCGGAAAGGCCCUUUCGGGGGUACUCGAGCGGCGAACGGGUGAGUAACACGUGAGCAACCUGCCCCUGGCUCUGGGAUAGCCUCCGGAAACGGGGAUUAAUACCGGACAUGACUUCCUGCCGCAUGGCGGGGGGUGGAAAGUUUUUCGGCCAGGGUGGGGCUCGCGGCCUAUCAGCUUGUUGGGGGGGUGACGGCCCACCAAGGCGACGACGGGUAGCCGGCCUGAGAGGGCGACCGGCCACACUGGGACUGAGACACGGCCCAGACUCCUACGGGAGGCAGCAGUGGGGAAUAUUGCGCAAUGGGGGAAACCCCGACGCAGCGACGCCGCGUGCGGGAUGAAGGCCUUCGGGUUGUAAACCGCUUUCACCAGGGACGAAGCGAGAGUGACGGUACCUGGGGAAGAAGCGCCGGCUAACUACGUGCCAGCAGCCGCGGUAAUACGUAGGGCGCGAGCGUUGUCCGGAAUUAUUGGGCGUAAAGAGCUCGUAGGCGGCCGGUUGCGUCUGCUGUGAAAUCCCGGGGCUUAACCCCGGGCGUGCAGUGGAUACGGGCCGGCUGGAGGCAGGCAGGGGAGAAUGGAAUUCCCGGUGUAGCGGUGAAAUGCGCAGAUAUCGGGAGGAACACCGGUGGCGAAGGCGGUUCUCUGGGCCUGUACUGACGCUGAGGAGCGAAAGCGUGGGGAGCGAACAGGAUUAGAUACCCUAGUAGUCC